CUACUGCCGUGAUGGUACCGGCUCUCUUCCUCCUUGGGACGGCGCCCGACUAGGAUGCAUGUAUGACGAGACCGGGCCAAGAGGUUGGCCUCCGGGUAUGAUAGCUUCACAGGACUGUCCUUGGAGCCAUGGCUACAUAAUGAGCUACGAGUUCAAAGUUGCUUAAAUGUACUCCUUUUCCAGUUGCUGUGCAAGAGAAAUAAUGAAUUUCUACAAUCGUCCAAAUUACACCUGUUUGAGCCGCGUAAACAGAGCGCUUCAUCAUGCUCAUUCAAAAUACUUCCCAGGAGACAGGGUGAAAAGGAACCGCUUCUGCAGGAAAGUGUACUAUGAGUUGAACUAUAACUAUAGAAAAGCUGACAAGGUUUGCAUCCUCGGAAAUUGUACAACGCGACCUACGGACGAUUGUGGCGAAUAACCAGAAUAACAGCACGCGACAUGAUUUUUUUCAUCUGUACUAACCUCUAGCCUCUUCUGGUAAAUAAAAAUGACAGACUUCUUGGA